rnacentral:rRNA from 1 species
GAUCCUGGCUCAGGAUGAACGCUAGCGGCAGGCUUAACACAUGCAAGUCGAGGGGCAACGCGAGUAGCAAUACUUGGCGGCGACCGGCGCAAGGGUGCGUAACGCGUGAGCAACAUGCCCGUAUCAGGGGGAUAAUCCAGGGAAACUUGGUCUAAUACCCCAUAGUAAUUUUGUAAGGCAUCUUAUAAGAUUUAAAGCUUUGGUGGAUACGGAUUGGCUCGCGUGACAUUAGCUGGAUGGUAAGGUAACGGCUUACCAUGGCUAUGAUGUCUAGGGGUUCUGAGAGGAAGGUCCCCCACACUGGAACUGAGAUACGGUCCAGACUCCUACGGGAGGCAGCAGUGAGGAAUAUUGGACAAUGGAUGGAAAUCUGAUCCAGCCAUGCCGCGUAGAAGGAAGAAGGUCCUAUGGAUUGUAAACUUCUUUUGUAUGGGAGCAAUAAGGCCUACGUGUAGGUUGAUGAGAGUACCAUACGAAUAAGCACCGGCUAACUCCGUGCCAGCCGCCGC